CAACCCACACAAAAACAACGUCUAAAGCUAUGUGUAUGUUGGCCUUGCCGACUGCAUCUAACCAAAGACAACUCUCAACAACGGAUAUCUUGGCUCUUACAACGAUGAAGAACGCAGCGAAAUGCGAUACGUAGUGUGAAUUGCAGAAUUCCGUGAACCAUCGAAUCUUUGAACGCAUAUUGCGCUCGAGGCCUCGGCCAAGAGCACGCCUGCCUCAGAGUCGGUUUUCCCCCUCAACCCCCCUACCCCUUGGGUAGAGCCGGUUGGACCUGGCAGUCUCAGAGCUUUCAUUAGCGCUGGGUCUGCUGAAGUGCAGAGAUUUAACCGGGACCCGCUAAGGGCAAACACUAGGUAGGUAGCCUUCGGGUUAUUCCUGUGUGUGUCUAAGGCCUGGCUAUAAUCAGCAGGAAAACACCUUAACCAUUCGACCUGAGUUCAGACGAGACUACCCGCCGAACUUAAGCAUAUCAAUAAGCGGAGGAAAAGAAACUAAC
rnacentral:rRNA from 1 species